UACAGAGGGUGCAAGCGUUAAUCGGAAUUACUGGGCGUAAAGCGAGCGUAGUCGGUUAUUUAAGUCGGGUGUGAAAGCCCCGGGCUCAACCUGGGAAUUGCAUUCGAUACUGGAUAGCUAGAGUUCGGUAGGGGAGACUGGAAUUCCUGGUGUAGCGGUGAAAUGCGCAGAUAUCAGGAGGAACACCGGUGGCGAAGGCGGGUCUCUGGGCCGAUACUGACGCUGAGGAGCGAAAGCGUGGGGAGCGAACAGG
rnacentral:rRNA from 1 species